CCAAAAACUUACUAAUUGAAAGCAAUUUUAAUAAUUUUAUCUUCCCUCCAAUUCUUUUCCCCAAUAAUUAACAUUCCCCCCAAACUAUAAAAAAAAUAUAAAAUAAUAAAACUUUCCCUCAGAGUACCUAAAAACCUUGAAGCCGCUACCAGAUCUUGACGCUGCUGCCACCGGAAGGAUUUCAACCAGGCAAGCAUUAUGGAACCCAUCUCUUCUCUUAAGAGUACCUAAAAACAAAGGAUUGAAAACCAACUAAAGUACGACAACAUAAAAAAGUCGAAAUCGAACUAGAAACUGAGACCCCUCCCAUUGAAAACCCUAAAUUAUGACCAUCAAUCUAUCAAAAGAACACCACGAACUGAAGAAUUAGGAAUAAACCCACAUUUUUUUGACAAAAGAACGAGAAAAAAGAAGGAACUGAAAACCCACAUCUUCUUGUCGUUGUUUGUUCUUGUGGAUCUAUGGUGUGAUUGCGCAUAUCACUUGUCUAUUUGUUGUUUCAAGACUGUUAGGGGCACCAUUCAUCUCGUUCAGUUUAUUGUCAUUCUCGUCAAAGUAAUUUGAUUACCAGGACAUGAUCAAUGAAAAGUUGAGUAAUAGUGAGGUAUCGAACGAGCAACCUCGUCACUCUGUUGCUUGGGAAGGAGAUGUAUAUUCACAAGUGUUGGGAAAUGAAAAACUGGUUAUGUUCGUAGCUUAGGACUUGGUCCAACUCCUUCUGUACUAUGGGGUAGUAGAUCUUCUUUUGGAAAUAUUAUUGAAGAGGAUUCGUCUAAUGAGGUUGUAAAAAGGUUAGAACAAGAGGUAACAAAGUUAAAGGACAUAAAUGGAAAACAAAAUGAAGAACUGAGUUUGGUGAAACAAAAUCAAGAGAAGUUGCUAUCUGAAUUAGCAUGGGUGAGAAAAGCCUUGAGCAGAAAUGGUCCUAAUGGGUUACCUAUACAUCAUAAUAUCAAUGGAAUUUUAGAUGACCAGAUAAGUCAAUUUUAAACGGUGGGAGUCAUUUAUUGAAAUUUAAAUUUUACAUAAAUAAUUUAUCUAACGUGUUAAUGUUUUUUAGGUUAUCGAUGCCAACAGUGGCCAUGAGCGACUACAACAAUCACCACAGAUGCUGUUUAGAGGAGAUAAUGUGGCUGAAAAUUUUCCAUCUUCUCACGGUCAUACAGUAUGAUGUUUGAAUAGCACGUGGAAGAUUCAAUAUUAUGCAGCGUUGCGAAACUGUUGGAGGGUGCAUUUUAGAAAUUUGUUACUGCAAGUAUUGGAUAGGAAUAGUUACAAGGACAUUAACUAUUUAGUUUAGACACAUAAUAUUAUUUUUUAAUUCGCUGAUUACAUUAGUAUUAUGAAUUAGUACUUGCUUUGAUUUAUCUUGAGUUAGUGAAAUAUAUUAUAUUUUUAUAAA